rnacentral:lncRNA from 10 species
CGUGCCUGUAAUCCCAGCUACUCGGGAGGCUGAGGCAGGAGAAUCGUUUAAGCCUGGGAGGUGGAGGUUGCAGUGAGCUGAGAUCGCACCACUGCACUCCAUCCUGGGCGACAGCCAGACUCUGUCUCAAAAAAAAAAAAAAAAAAAGAGGCCAGAUGAAGAGCUCGAACCACGAGCUUCUACAUGUUAACCAGGGUAAAGAGCAACCGCUGACAGGAAGGGGCCCAGCAGUCAACCCCCGGGAAGGCCAGGAUGUGGCCUUGUUUCGGCAAGGCCGCCCUAUCACCACGGAGAUGGGCAGGCAGGAGACAUCCCCAGUCAGUCGGGCCCAGGUGGGGAUCAGGAGGUUUCAGGAAAACACAAGCUAUGCAGUGGGGCAGGUGAGGCUUGGCCUGCCCAGCCUGUCCUGAGUGUCAUGGGAACAGCUCUGGAAGUGACUCCUCUGUCCUCUGGAAUCUGGAUCAGAUGGGGCCUUCUCCAGACAUCUGUGCUCAGCAGAUGCGACAGACGGCCCCUCGAGUGUAGCCCAGGAUCCAGCACCGGCCCAAGCAGGUGGGAGCUGUAAGUUGAUCCAAGCUCUCCAGUCCCUGUGCUGGGCUGGGGGAUGCACGAUGAACGAGGCUGGGAUCCUGGUGUCAGGGAGUACCAGCCACAGAGGGCGCCAUGUGCAUGGAGGAGGUGGCAAGGAAGAGGUGACUGGGAAGGGGAGAAGCAGAGAGGCCAGGAGGAGGGCGGGGCCUGUGCUGGGGGGUGGAGGAACUCAUGCCCGGGAAGGGCAUGGGGAGAGUGAAGUGGGAGUGGAGUGGGAGGCAGGCUUGGAGGAGUCGGUGCCUUGGGAUGUGGGACAGUGAGGAACAAGGCACAAACAACCAGUCAGUGCUCUGGGGAAUCAAGAAGUUGGGAUGGGCAGCGGGGGUCCAGGGUGGAGAUGGGCUGGAGGGGGAGGAGGGCACCAACCAGGGAAGGCCCCUCAGGGGCUUGAUCCUGUAGUUCUGGGCCUCGCAGAGCCAGCCACACGUCCGAGCUCCUAGGUGAUUUUAAGAACUAGCUCUUGCUGGGCCGCACCCAGGCAGAGCUGCCCGUUCAGUGGCUGGGCUGGCCCAGCACCUCCCAGGUGAUCCUGUUGUGCCAGGUCAAUGGUCUGGAGAGUUAUCAGCCACAAGAGGCACCGUCAGGUUUGCCCUUUUGAGGCCCACAUGGCCGCUGGUGUGAGACGCGGAUGUGCACGGUGAGGCAGUGAGGGGCUGCAGGGUGAGGAGCCCCCAGCCAUGUGCGGUUCAGGGUCCCCGCAGCACUCGCCCAAGGACACUGGGAGCUGGCGGAGGCCUGGGCAGGAGCAGGAAACUGAAGGAGGAGGAGGGGCCUCACUCAUCACCUGAUGAGAUCUCCACACUUUGCAGAAGGGGAAACCGAGGCUCACAGCGAGGAACUUGGUCAACAAGCCCAGGCCCCUCCACCCUGCCCGCGUUUCCUGCACUGCACUGGAUCAAACCGGUUUGAUCCUUGAUAAUGCCUCCGACAAAUAUUUGAUGAGGGAGGAGGCUGAGAGAGGGGCUGUGGAACAAAUCACCACAAACUGGAGGGCCGAAAACACCAGCAAUGGGCUCCCUCUUGGUUCUGGAGCCGAGAAGGCAGAAAUGAAGGCGUCAUCAGGGUUGCUCCUUCUGGGGCCUCAGAGCAGGACUCUGUUCCCUGCCCGUCCCCAGCUCCGGUGGUUGGCGGCCUUCCUCCGCCUGUGGCCCUGCACUCCAAUCGCUGCCUCUGUUGUCACUUGGCCCCCCAUGUGCCUCUGUGUCUCAGAAGGACACAAGUCAUAUUGAAUUAAGGACCCUCCCUACCCCAGCAUGACCCCGUUUUAACUUAGAACUUUCACAAUGAUCUGAUUUGCAAAGAAGGCUGGAUUCUGAGGUCCUGGGAAGGACAUGAAUUUUGGGGGAUGCUGUUCACCUCAGUACACCGGUGCAGAGUUCGGUGACACCGCCAAGUUGCUUGACGGUGAGCAGCCUGGCAUUGUAGAAAGGCAGAGGUUGACUUUAGUUUGGUCCCUGGCUUUGUCCUUUAUUUGUUCUGUGACACCUUGGACAAGUUUUGUGACCCGAGUGUCAGUUUCCUAGGAACCAGUGACAAUGAUCAGAGAUAGGGGGACUCAAGGGUAAGUAAAGUGCAGGAUGAACUGCAGCGGAGCGUGUGAGGUGCCUGGCAGGUGUCGGCCACCCAGUGGCGCUCGAAGCACCUGCUGCUCCCUCCUUCCUCGCUCCCAGCUGCCUUCUCUGCUGGGAGCUCUUUGGAGAGGAGCUGUGUGACUGGUUCAUCCUGUCCCUCGAGGAGCUACCAGUUCAGUCAAGGACAUUGAGAAGCAGCGGAUGGUGACAGUGCAGUGUGACAGUGGUGUGCUGUGGGAGCCCCAUGGAGCGGCUACCCAGGCAGGAACGUCAGGGAGGCUUCCUGGAGGAGGUGGUGCUUCAGAUGAGACUUGAAGGAGCAGAAGGUGUUUGCUAGACAAAGGGGCUUGCUUGGAUGAAUGGUCUUCAGAGCGUGGUCCCAGUAAGGAAGGAGACCACUACUACUCUUGCUGCCCUCCUCCCCCGACCUUGCCUAGUUUACAAGACAGGAGGAAAGAGAGAAAGCAAAAAGUUAGAAAAAAAAAAAAAAAAAACAGAAGUAAGAUAAAUAGCCAGAAGACCUUGGCACCACCACCUGGCCCUGGUAGUUAAAAAAAGUAAUAAUAAUAAUAUCGACCCCUGACUUAAACUACUUGUAUUAUCUGUAAAUUCCAGACAUUGUAGGAAAAAGCAUUGCAAAAUUUUCUGUUCUGUUAGCUGAUUCAUGUAGCCCCCAGUCACGUUCCCCAUGCUUGUUCGAUUUAUCAUGACCCUUUCACGUGGGCCCCUUAGAGGUGUAAGCCCUUAAAAGGGCCAAGAAUUUCUUUUUCCGGGAGCUCGGCUCUUAAGACGCAAGUCUGCUGAUGCUCCCGGCUGAAUAAACCUCUUCCUUCUUUAAUCCAGUGUCUGAGGAGUUUUGUCUGUGGCUCCUCCUGCUACACCAGAACAGCAGGGCCGGCAUCCCCUGAGCUAGAACAACCCUGAGGCAGGGCAUCCACUGCAGGGAAGGCUGGGAGAGGGGCCAGAGAAACCUGUCAGGGGAUUCUGAUGUGUGCUCCGGUCUCAGGACAUUCUCACAGGGGCGACAGGGACUGGAGCUGGGACAGAGUGUGGC